rnacentral:rRNA from 1 species
UACGUAGGAGACGAGCGUUGUCCGGAGUUACUGGGCGUAAAGGGUGCGCAGGCGGCCGCGCGCGUCGCGAGUGAAAUCUCCCGGCUCAACUGGGAGGGUGGUCGCGAGACGGCGUGGCUUGAGGCUCGGAGAGGGGCGUGGAAUUCCGGGUGGAGCGGUGAAAUGCGUAGAGAUCCGGAGGAACACCGACGGCGUAGGCAGCGCCCUGGACGAGACCUGACGCUCAGGCACGAAAGCUCGGGGAG